rnacentral:rRNA from 1 species
ACAGAGGUCCCAAGCGUUGUUCGGAUUCACUGGGCGUAAAGGGUGCGUAGGUGGCUGGGUAAGUUCGGUGUGAAAUCUCCAGGCUCAACCUGGAAAUGGCAUUGAAUACUAUUCAGCUCGAGGGUUGUAGGGGAGACUGGAAUUCUCGGUGGUGCAGUGAAAUGCGUAGAUAUCGAGAGGAACACCAGUGGCGAAGGCGGGUCUCUGGAAAACUCCUUACACUGGGGCAAGGAAGGUAGGGGAGCAAACAG